UUCCAGACUCCUACGGGAGGCAGCAGUGAGGAAUAUUGGUCAAUGGGCGGGAGCCUGAACCAGCCAAGCCGCGUGAAGGAAGAAGGCGCCAGGCGUCGUAAACUUCUUUUGUCGGGGAACAAAGGGCGCCACGCGUGGCGUUGUGAGUGUACCCGAAGAAAAAGCAUCGGCUAACUCCGUGCCAGCAGCCGCGGUAAUACGGAGGAUGCGAGCGUUAUCCGGAUUUAUUGGGUUUAAAGGGUGCGUAGGUGGUUAAUUAAGUCAGCGGUGAAAGUUUGUGGCUCAACCUUAAAAUUGCCGUUGAAACUGGUUGACUUGAGUAUAUUUGAGGUAGGCGGAAUGCGUGGUGUAGCGGUGAAAUGCAUAGAUAUCACGCAGAACUCCGAUUGCGAAGGCAGCAUACCGGCGCCCAACUGACGCUGAAGCACGAAAGCGUGGGUAUCGAACAGGAUUAGAUACCCCAGUA
rnacentral:rRNA from 1 species